UGUUAUAAUGCUAUUCAUAUUUUUGAAUUUGAAGAAGGAAAAAAAAUCAAGAAAAGAUAUUUGUGUGUUUUAAUUUAUGAUAUAUUUGUAAACUUUAACAUCCUAUAUGUUAAUCCGCAAAACUCAGUCAUAUAUACAUUGGUAUUUAAAGGUAAGCAAAUAAGAAAUGAAAAUAGGAAUUAUGAGACACAAACGGCAUGAAAAGAAAGAGAAGUACUAUAUAAAAUAAUUUGAAACCAAACUGGACAUCAAAUUAAAUAUCUAACUAGUAUGAGUUUGGGUUAUGAACACUAUAUAAAA
rnacentral:sRNA from 1 species